rnacentral:rRNA from 1 species
UACGGAGGAUGCAAGCGUUAUCCGGAAUGAUUGGGCGUAAAGCGUCCGCAGGUGGCGAUGUAAGUCUGCUGUUAAAGAGUCUAGCUCAACUAGAUAAGAGCAGUGGAAACUACAUAGCUAGAGUACGUUCGGGGCAGAGGGAAUUCCGUGUGUAGCGGUGAAAUGCGUAGAUAUACGGAGGAACACCAGAGGCGAAGGCGGAUCGCUGGGCCAACACUGACGCUGAUGUGCGAAAGCUAGGGGAGCAAACGGG